rnacentral:tRNA from 1 species
GCCUUCGUGGUGUAGUGGUCAGCACGCUGGGCGCAUAUUCCAGAGGUCCGUGGUUCGAGUCCCGGCGAGGGCA